rnacentral:piRNA from 1 species
UAAAAGCAAUUAGGCUUAUUUAGAGCAAAG